GUGCUUGCUUCCAUAGCACAUAUACCAAAAUUGGAAUGAUAUAGAGAAGAUUAGCAUAGCCCCUGCACAAGGAUGACAUGCAGAUUCAUGAAGCAUUCCGUAUUUUU